rnacentral:rRNA from 1 species
AGUUUGAUCAUGGCUCAGAUUGAACGCUGGCGGCAUNCNUACACAUGCAAGUCGAACGGCAGCACGGGAGCAAUCNGGUGGCGAGUGGCGAACGGGUGAGUAAUGUAUCGGAACGUACCUUUCAGUGGGGGAUAACGUAGCGAAAGUUACGCUAAUACCGCAUAUUCUGUGAGCAGGAAAGCAGGGGAUCGCAAGACCUUGCGCUGAUUGAGCGGCCGAUAUCAGAUUAGCUAGUUGGUGAGGUAAAGGCUCACCAAGGCGACGAUCUGUAGCGGGUCUGAGAGGAUGAUCCGCCACACUGGAACUGAGACACGGUCCAGACUCCUACGGGAGGCAGCAGUGGGGAAUUUUGGACAAUGGGGGCAACCCUGAUCCAGCCAUGCCGCGUGAGUGAAGAAGGCCUUCGGGUUGUAAAGCUCUUUCAGCCGGGAAGAAAUCACAUGGGUUAAUACCCUGUGUGGAUGACGGUACCGGAAUAAGAAGCACCGGCUAACUACGUGCCAGCAGCCGCGGUAAUACGUAGGGUGCGAGCGUUAAUCGGAAUUACUGGGCGUAAAGCGUGCGCAGGCGGUUUGUUAAGAUAGGCGUGAAAUCCCCGGGCUCAACCUGGGAACUGCGUUUAUGACUGGCAGGCUAGAGUAUGGCAGAGGGGGGUGGAAUUCCACGUGUAGCAGUGAAAUGCGUAGAGAUGUGGAGGAACACCGAUGGCGAAGGCAGCCCCCUGGGCCAAUACUGACGCUCACGCACGAAAGCGUGGGUAGCAAACAGGAUUAGAUACCCUGGUAGUCCACGCCCUAAACGAUGUCAACUAGGUGUUGGGUGGGUAAAACCAUUUAGUACCGGAGCUAACGCGUGAAGUGA